rnacentral:rRNA from 1 species
UACGGAGGGGGCUAGCGUUGUUCGGAAUUACUGGGCUUGAAGCGCACGUAGGCGGCGUUGUAAGUGUCGGGUGAAAUCCCACGGCUCACCCGUGGAACUGCCCGGCAUACUGCGAUGCUAGAGUGUGGUAGGGGAGAGCGGAACUCCUGGUGGAGCGGUGAAAUGCGUAGAUAUCAGGAGGAACACCGGUGGCGAAGGCGGCUCUCUGGUCCACAACUGACGCUGAGGUGCGAAAGCUAGGGGAGCAAACGGG